GGGUUCUACCGUUGGUCGGGCUAUAGUCUGUACUGGCGCGUGGAAUUUCUACCUUCUGGGGAACUAUCAUGUUAUUAAUUUAGCGUGGUAGGAAACCAGAACCUUUACCUUGAAAAAAUUAGAGUGUUUAAAGCAAGCCUAUGCUUGAAUACAUUAGCAUGGAAUAAUAGAAUAGGACUC
rnacentral:rRNA from 1 species